GAGACAUUCUGCGAGAAGAACAAAGGCUCUUCUUUAAUCUGGGUAGGUCACAAAUCAGGUGCUGCCUUUGAAGUCGUUAUGAAUUAAUGGCAUCAAAGCUAAUCCCUGUAAUGGCUUGAACGAUGCAUUGAUCUCACGCCACUUUUAUCACUUGACUGAAAAGAAGUUGGAUCCAGGGGUAAGGUCAGAUCUCUGGCCGGCAGCAUUUUGAUGUUCAGUCCCCUUUCUGUGAGUG
rnacentral:lncRNA from 1 species